UACGGAGGAUCCGAGCGUUAUCCGGAAUCAUUGGGUUUAAAGGGUCCGUAGGUGGAUUGGUAAGUCAGAGGUGAAAGCCUGCAGCUCAACUGUAGAACUGCCUUUGAUACUGCUAGUCUUGAGUCGUUGUGAAGUGGUUAGAAUAUGUAGUGUAGCGGUGAAAUGCAUAGAUAUUACAUAGAAUACCGAUUGCGAAGGCAGAUCACUAACAACGUACUGACACUGAUGGACGAAAGCGUGGGGAGCGAACAGG
rnacentral:rRNA from 1 species